UUACCUUUUAUUCAUGUUAAUUUGGUCUAAGCAAAUUCCUAAUUACAUAUGUUAUAUUCAAUAUAUCGUGUUUGACUUUCCUGGUAACAUAUUAGAAUGAAUGAUAGUAUUCUGAAUUAAAUAGAUAUUAGAAACCCCACUGAUUGUUUGAUACACCUUUCUUUCUAGUAACAUAUUGUAAUUUUUUUAUUUUUUAUUUUUAGGAUAAUGAUGAAGAUGACACACAGUCGCAGGGGGCACCUGCUGUUUCUCCUUCUGAAAAAAAAAUAUUUCAUCAGAUAAUUGAGAAGAAAUCGAAGACAUUGUUUAAAAGUCAAGUGUUGUAUCAGCGUGGUGAAUUUAGCUUGAAUCGAAAGGACCUAUACGAUUCCUUCAGAGUGUACGGGUCACUUUCCAUUAACUUAAUGGAGGCCUUUGCAAAAUUUCUGAACUGCUUCACCGGUUCCAAUCCUGAACGUGGAAAGCGCAGCUACAUCUUGUCACCACAGUACAUGGUGUUACAUGAUACCAAUGGGAAUGUAGUUUCUGCAUCAAUGAAGAGAAUUAACUAUACCACACCUGAGAUAGCUGAAGCCAUGGUUGUUAGGUAUGCAUUACAUAUAGCUUUGGAGACUUGGUUAUAAGUCAGUGGUGGUGGAAAGCGACUCGCUAAAUGUGAUCCAAGUUGUGAAAGUGGAUUCGGAAAGGUUGGAUCCGAUCUUUCUUAUUUAUAAUGUUAUUAGAAUGGGUAGCUUAUUAUUUGCUGCUUGUAGUAUUUAAAAUGUUAAGCGUUCUUGUAAUAUGGUAGUGCACCCAGUAGCAAGGUGAGAACCCGAUAUGAUGUUAAUUCUGAACUUGUACGCUUGGGAUCGUUUCCCCAAAAUCUCAUUACUUUGACGGAAUUAGGCCUUAUUAAUUUGAAUAAAAGCAUCGCUACCCAUUUCUUUAUAAUAAUAAAAAUAAAUAAAAAAAAAAAAAAAUACUGUCGUAACCAAAACUACUACAGUGAUCUGAGCUUGAAGGUUUAAAAUGGGCUUUCUGAGAAAGUGGUUGGUUGGAUCAUUUUCAUAUGUCACAUUGUCACAUGUUAAUGGAUGAUGAUAGCAGUCCAACAAACUAACAUAGAUUCUUAUUUUCACAUGUCUUGUUUCUCAAAUUCCGUU